AUAAGUUAAGCCUUGUCAUUGAUGCCAAAUCUAUGAGCCAACUCAUACAUAGAUUCUGAGAAGUCAGGUUGAAAGCCCUCCUGAGAGGAAAAACUAAACUUGAUUCCAACAAUAAGUACCAAUGUGAGUGGAAUAUAAUGGAAAGAUGUUGUAAAAGCAGCAUAAAGUGUCAUUUGCAAGAGAAGAGCAUGUAACACCACAGGCAAAAGAGAGAGACAAUAGAACAGGAACCAGCUUUCCUGUGGGAUAUGAAGAAAGUACAAAGUGAAAUGAGGGCAGCAUGCAACUGACAAGAAGAACAACAAAGAAGGUAAUCCUUGGAAUUUCUUACAUGGAUUAUUUUCCCAAAAGUCAAGUGAACCUUGGCUGUUUAUUUGAAGAGGAAGACACCAAAAAUUUGAUUGGAGGCUCUGGAUGAGUACCAGAUUCACACCAGAUUUUGAGUCAGCACUUACGACUGUUCAGAUUUGCAGAAGAAUCUUGAAUGCAUUGGACAUGGACAGAAACUCCGGGUCUGAAAAUAAAAAGCACAGAAAAAAAUAAG
rnacentral:lncRNA from 10 species